UAGGGAAUCUUCGGCAAUGGACGAAAGUCUGACCGAGCAACGCCGCGUGAGUGAAGAAGGUUUUCGGAUCGUAAAACUCUGUUGUUAGAGAAGAACAAGGACGUUAGUAACUGAACGUCCCCUGACGGUAUCUAACCAGAAAGCCACGGCUAACUACGUGCCAGCAGCCGCGGUAAUACGUAGGUGGCAAGCGUUGUCCGGAUUUAUUGGGCGUAAAGCGAGCGCAGGCGGUUUCUUAAGUCUGAUGUGAAAGCCCCCGGCUCAACCGGGGAGGGUCAUUGGAAACUGGGAGACUGGAGUGCAGAAGAGGAGAGUGGAAUUCCAGGUGUAGCGGUGAAAUGCGUAGAUAUAUGGAGGAACACCAGUGGCGAAGGCGGCUCUCUGGUCUGUAACUGACGCUGAGGCUCGAAAGCGUGGGGAGCAAACAGG
rnacentral:rRNA from 1 species